rnacentral:rRNA from 1 species
CCUGAUCCAGCCAUGCCGCGUGAGUGAAGAAGGCCUUCGGGUUGUAAAGCUCUUUCGGCGGGGACGAAACGGUCCGUGCCAACACCACGGACUAAUGACGGUACUCGCAGAAGAAGCACCGGCUAACUACGUGCCAGCAGCCGCGGUAAUACGUAGGGUGCGGGCGUUAAUCGGAAUUACUGGGCGUAAAGCGUGCGCGGGCGGCUCCUUAAGUCAGAUGUGAAAUCCCCGGGCUUAACCUGGGAACUGCGUUUGAAACUGAGGGGCUUGAGUGUGGAAGAGGGGGGUGGAAUUCCAGGUGUAGCAGUGAAAUGCGUAGAGAUCUGGAGGAACACCGAUGGCGAAGGCAGCCCCCUGGGCUAACACUGACGCUCAUGCACGAAAGCGUGGGGAGCAAACAGGAUUAGAUACCCUGGUAGUCCACGCCCUAAACGAUGUCAACUGGUUGUCGGGGAAGCAAUUCCUUGGUAACGAAGCUAACGCGUGAAGUUGACCGCCUGGGGAGUACGGCCGCAAGGUUA